rnacentral:pre_miRNA from 1 species
UUGGAGGAUUUGAAGACUUCAACUUGUAUACUUGAAUAAUUUAAAGACUUUAACUUACAUAUUUGAAGGAUUUGAAAUCUUAUAACA